UACGGGGGGGGCAAGCGGUUGUUCGGAAUUACUGGGCGUAAAGGGCUCGUAGGUGGCCAACUAAGUCAAACGUGAAAUCCCUCAGCUUAACUGGGGAACUGCGUCUGAUACUGGAUGGCUUGAGUUUGGGAGAGGGAUGCGGAAUUCCAGGUGUAGCGGUGAAAUGCGUAGAUAUCUGGAGGAACACCGGUGGCGAAGGCGGCAUCCUGGACCAACACUGACACUGAGGAGCGAAAGCCAGGGGAGCAAACGGG
rnacentral:rRNA from 1 species